rnacentral:rRNA from 1 species
AACGAACGCUGGCGGCGUGCCUAACACAUGCAAGUCGAACGUGAAAGUCCUUCGGGAUGAGUAAAGUGGCGCACGGGUGAGUAAUAGAUAGGAACGUACCUUUUGGAGGGGGAUAACCACGGGAAACUGUGGCUAAUACCGCGUACGAUCGUAAGAUGAUAGGGUGCCUCUCCUUGGAAGCACUCGCCGUAAGAGCGGCCUAUCUCCCAUUAGCUAGUUGGCAGGGUAAAGGCCUACCAAGGCGACGAUGGGUAGCUGGUCUGAGAGGAUGAUCAGCCACACUGGAACUGGGACACGGUCCAGACUCCUACGGGAGGCAGCAGUGGGGAAUCUUGCACAAUGGGCGAAAGCCUGAUGCAGCAACGCCGCGUGAGUGAAGAAGGCCCUUGGGUUGUAAAGCUCUUUCGACUCUGAAGAGGGGGCAGAGGUCUAAUAGGCCUUUGUUCUGACGGUAGGAGAUGAAGAAGCACCGGCUAACUCCGUGCCAGCCGCCGCGGUAA